rnacentral:lncRNA from 1 species
AUGAACUACUGCUGAUCUGCCAAAAACUAUGUCCUGGAAAACAACACAGUAUUUUUUUAUUUUGGCCAAGAACAGCAUAAUCAUAAUUCCAGUAUAAGACCACUGGAAAAACUUUAAUGGUGGAUCAAAAUAUACCAUCUCCUGUACUGCAGAUUUUCCACAGACCUUUUCUUGAUAUUUGGUUUUAUAUAGAUAUAAAAAAUGAAAUAGACAGGUUUUUUUAUAGAACAGCGGUGUGGUUUUUUUUUCUGACUUCCAGGUGUGGUGACCCACUGUGAUGGCAGACAGAGUUCAGUUCAGUGUUAUGGAGCUUUGGGAGGAACUGUUUCUCUCCAACUGAUGGACGACUUCUCACAAAUAAAAAAAAACGAGGAAGCGCCAGAAACCAAGUACAUGGUUGUAAUAUAUAGAGGAAAAGAUCAAAAAUAUUCUCAUGAAAUGCAGAACAGAUCUUCAUUUUUCCCCAGUAAUGGGACAGUUUUGAUCAACAACCUGAGCAGAACUGACAGUGGUGAAUGCACACUUACAAGCUAUAACUCAGAUGGACUUCAAUUAUUAACCCAGACCAUAGACUUGUGUGUUCAAGCUCCUGUGUCCUCCGUCUCGCUGGUCUCUGAGUGUUUGUCUCAGGGAGAGAUGAAGGUGUCCUGCUCCUCUGAGGGAGGGGACAGUCCUCAGUACAGGUGGACUCUGAAUGGAAAGUCACUGACAGAAGCUGAGCUGCUUUCUGGAAACAAGCAGACAAACAUCAUCACUUUGAAACAACACGUCUCAGGACGUCUGGUCUGUUCCUCCUGGAACCACGUCAGCUCUGCUUCUAAAGAGAUAAACAUCACUAACUGUGGUGAGUUAGAGGAAUAAAAACUUUGAAAAGUUGUGAUUACUCUGUACAUCAUAUACUUUGUUUUCUCACAGGUUUCAUUUACAUAAACUGCACUUUUAAUGGGACGAAGAUAUCAAAGUGGGUGUUUAAGGAAAAUGACACUCUGUGUGUUGAACCAACAACAUCACCAACAGAGGGACAAAGCACUGUGGGUAAGGAGUCAGAGGACUAUUAUUCUCCAUCCUUCACACAUUUGUUAACCAAUAAGUAAAUGUGGACCAGCUUGAAGGUAAAUCAAAUUCUCCCAAAUUAAAAUAUAAUUUAGGCCAUAUUAAAACAGUAAACACAAUUUAUUAAUACUCUGUAACAAUGGUGUCCAGACUGCAUGGUGGCAAAGUGGUUAGCAUUCUUGCUUUAUGGAGAAGGCUCUGGUUAAAAUUCCAUCAGUGGCCUUUCUGUGUGGAGUUUGCAUGUUUACCUCUAGUAAGUUUUUUGCAGCCACUCUGGAUUCUCACAAAGUCCAAAAACAUGCUUCAUAUGUUAACUGGGGACUCUCAGUUGUCUCUUAGUGUGAAAAAACUAGUUUGUAUUGCACACAUAAAUCUAGUCUUCCUCGAUGCAGAAUACUAUAAAUAGAAUCUCCUUUGUAAUUUAAAAACGUUUUUUUGGUUAUGGGUCUAACAUAUUGUUUCGUCUUUAUGUCUCUAGUUCACACAGAUCUGUCCGUGCUGAAAUGCAGUCUGAUGUUUCUGUUUUCUGUUGUUUGCUUUGUUGGAAUCGGCGUCUAUUUCAAGUGGAAGAAGAUCAAAUCUGAGAAAGCUGAACAGUUUGCUGCAAGAAACAGAAGAAAGUUUUCAGAUCAUUUCUAUGAAAAUGAACAAGCACUGUACAGUAACAUUCAACCAAAAUCAUGGAAACAUUUCAGUGGAGAAGCUUGAUUUGUACGGAUCAUUUUGAUGAAAACAUAUAGCGUUUUCCAAACUGAUUUUAGGAUUGCAUGAUGUGGAGGAAAUUACAUUGAUUGUAAAGAAUAUGCAAGCAAAGACAGGCAGAUCAGUCUUUCAGGCUCCUUGAUGUAAAACUUGAGAUGAAGCUCAGUGUGAAGUAUUGUUUGUGCCCCUCUGCCUUCAUUACCUAGCUGUGUAUUUGGACCUGAGCUUCUGUUACCUGACUCUGUGUCUGACUUUGUUUGCCUGCCACCUGCAUCGACUCUCAACAGGAUCUUAACUAUCCUGUUUUUCCUCUGAUGAUCUCAUGCCUGUUAUUAACUGCUGCCUGUCUGAGCCUGAUUUAUCUUUGUGGACUUUUAGCUGAGCUAAUAAACCUGCUGCAUUGGAAUCAGCCGUCUGCCUGUUUUUGUGACAGUAUUGUUCAUUUUAAUCCAGAGAAUUCUAGUUUUUCAA